rnacentral:rRNA from 1 species
UAACGCGUGAGGAACCUGCCUUUCANAGGGGGACAACAGUUGGAAACGACUGCUAAUACCGCAUAAUAUAUGUUUGUCGCAUGGCAGAUAUAUCAAAGAUUUAUCGCUGAGAGAUGGCCUCGCGUCUGAUUAGCUAGUUGGUAGGGUAACGGCCUACCAAGGCGACGAUCAGUAGCCGGACUGAGAGGUUGGCCGGCCACAUUGGGACUGAGAUACGGCCCAGACUCCUACGGGAGGCAGCAG